UCCCCCACCAGCAGCGCCCCCGUCCUUCGCUCCGCACACUCCUCGCAGAGAGGAGGCCCAGUCCCCCACCCGCCCGCCACCCAACGCGGCGGGCGCGUCGCCAUGGCGCUCGCGCUCCGUCUCCUGCUCCCCCUGCUCCUCCUAGCCGCCGCCGCCGCCGACGCGCUCACGCCCGACGGCCAGGCGCUGCUGGCGUUCAAGGCGGCCGUCGUCCAGGACCCCACGGGGGCGCUCGCCAACUGGGACGCCACCGCCGCGGACCCCUGCGCCUGGAACGGCGUCGCCUGCUCCUCCUCCUCCUCCCCCGCCGGCGCCACCACCCAGCCCCGCCGCGUCGUCGCGCUCUCGCUCCCCAAGAAGCGCCUCGUCGCGGCGCUCCCGGCGGCGCCGCUCCCUUCGUCGCUGCGCCACCUCAACCUCCGCAGCAACCGCCUCUUCGGCCCCGUCCCGCCCGCGCUCGUCUCCGGCGCGCCCGCGCUCCAGAGCCUCGUCCUCUACGGGAACGCGCUCGACGGCCCGCUCCCCGACGAGCUCGGGGCCCUGCCCUUCCUCCAGAUCCUCGACCUCUCCUCCAAUGCCCUCAACGGCUCCCUCCCACCCUCGAUCCUCAAAUGCCGCCGCCUCCGCGCGCUCGCGCUCGCGCGGAACAACCUCACGGGCCCGCUCCCCUCAGGCUUCGGCGCCCAGCUCUCCGCGCUCGAGCGCCUCGACCUCUCCUUCAACGGCUUCUCCGGCGCCAUCCCGGAGGACAUCGGGAACCUCUCCAGGCUCCAGGGGACGGUCGACCUCUCGCACAACCACUUCUCCGGCACGAUCCCGCCGAGCCUCGGGAGGCUCCCCGAGAAGGUUUACAUCGAUCUCACCUACAACAACCUCUCUGGCCCGAUCCCGCAGAACGGGGCGCUCGAGAACCGGGGGCCCACGGCGUUCGUCGGCAACCCGGGCCUCUGCGGGCCGCCGCUCAAGAACCCCUGCUCGCCGGACGCCAUGCCAUCGUCCAACCCGUCCCUGCCCAACGACGGGGACUCGUCUGCACCCGACGCGGCCGGUGGCGGCAAGGGGAAGGGCAAAGGGCUGGGGAAGAUUGCCAUUGUGGCCAUCGUGCUGAGUGAUGUGGUAGGGAUUUUGAUCAUGGCGCUCCUCUUCUUCUACUGCUACUGGAGGGCAGUUUCAUCCAAGGACAGGAAGGGGUCCAGGUGCGGAAAGGAUUGUGGAUGUUUCAGUAGGGAUGAGUCCGGGACUCCGUCCGAGCACGCCGAGCAGUACGAUCUCGUGGCCUUGGACCAGCAAGUGAGGUUUGAUCUGGAUGAGCUGCUCAAGGCUUCAGCAUUUGUGUUGGGGAAGAGUGGGAUUGGGAUCGUUUAUAAGGUGGUUCUUGAGGACGGGCUCACCAUGGCCGUCAGGCGGCUUGGGGAGGGGGGAUUGCAGAGGUUUAAGGAAUUUCAGACUGAGGUUGAGGCUAUUGGCAAGGUCCGGCAUCCAAACAUUGUUACCUUGAGAGCCUACUACUGGUCUUUUGAUGAGAAGCUGCUUAUAUAUGAUUACAUUUCUAAUGGCAGCCUCUCUGCAGCAAUUCAUGGUAAACCUGGAAUGAUGACAUUCACACCAUUGCCAUGGGAGGCCCGAUUGAAUAUCAUGAAGGGAGUCGCCAAGGGGAUGUCUUUCUUGCAUGAGUUCAGCCCCAAAAAGUAUGUCCAUGGGGACUUGAGGCCAAAUAACAUCCUCCUUGGAACAAAUAUGGAACCAUACAUCUCAGACUUUGGCCUCGGACGUCUUGCAAAUAUCGCUGGAACAUCACCUUUCACGCAAUCAGAUCGAGUCGGUCUAGAAAAGGCCCAGAGCCAACAGUCAGAUGCCUCAGUGAGCCCUCUCAUGAGCAAAGGAUCAUGCUACCAAGCACCCGAAGCACUGAAGACGUUGAAACCAUCGCAGAAAUGGGACGUCUACUCCUACGGUGUGGUCUUGCUUGAAAUGAUCACAGGCAGAUCGCCUGCGGUUCUCUUGGAGACAAUGCAGAUGGAUCUCGUCCAGUGGGUCCAGUUCUGCAUCGAGGACAAGAAACCGUCUGCCGACGUGCUUGAUCCUUUCCUUGCCCGGGACUUGGAACGGGAGGAUGAGAUGAUCGCAGUGCUGAAAGUCGCCCUUGCUUGUGUUCAAGCCAACCCUGAGAGGAGGCCAUCGAUGAGGCAUGUAGCAGAGACCUUGGAGCGCCUUAAUGGGUCGAGCUAGAAAUUGCUAUACCAACAACUGGUGGUGAUUUUAGAUGGAUACGACCAUUGUACAGCUCAACUGUGGGACAAAGCUUAGGGGAGGAGGGCAUGAAGCUGCAUUAGCAUACUCCGGUGAUAUGCUUCCUUUUGAUCCCCAAAAGGUUUUGCAUGGGCUUUUUCCCAUGGAAAGCGAUGUGGCACCGGCGCAUUUCUGGCGUGAAAGGAAGCUGUGCGAUCUGGCUGUGCUCUGCUCAAUCUUUGGUUGGUACUGGUACUGGUCUUCGGUGUCCCUUUCCUACCGAAGACAGGCCUUGUGCGUUCGCAUGGCUGGCUGUUACAGUUUCUGUGACCAGUGAUUCUGUUAUACGUCCAGCAUCAUCACCAGUGACUCACUCAGUGUGCAGUGAUCACGCGAGAGGAUAACCAUAGUCUGAUGGUGCUCAGUGGCGAAGCUGAGCAAAUUGAUGGGGAUACACAUACUUUGUGGGUGCAUAAAGUUAAGCUAUGGAGUUGCAUUAACAGUAAAAACUAGGCUCGUAUUCCGCGUUGUAGUAAAAACCACCGUCUCAACUCACUUCUGUAAGGGAGAUCCUUCCGCA